rnacentral:rRNA from 1 species
UACGUAGGUGGCGAGCGUUAUCCGGAAUUAUUGGGCGUAAAGCGAGCGUAGGCGGUUUUUUAAGUCUGAUGUGAAAGCCCACGGCUCAACCGUGGAUGGUCAUUGGAAACUGGAAAACUUGAGUGCAGUAGAGGGAAGUGGAAUUCCAUGUGUAGCGGUGAAAUGCGUAGAGAUAUGGAGGAACACCAGUGGCGAAGGCGACUACCUGGACUGUAACUGACGCUGAUGCGCGAAAGCGUGGGGAUCAAACAGG